rnacentral:lncRNA from 1 species
CUUUUGCAAAUAUUUUCUCCAAACCUGUGGCUUGUCUUCUCAUUCUCUUGAUAUUGUCUUUAAUAGAGCAGAAGGUCUUAAUUUUAAUGAAGUCCAGCUCUUCAAUUAUUUCUUUCAUGAAUCAUACCUUUGGUGUUGUACCUAAAAACUCAUCACCAUACCCGAGGUCAUCUAGUUUUUCUCGUAUGUUAUCUUGUAGGAGUCUUAUACUUUUGCAUUUUACAUUUAGAUCUAUGAUUCAUUUUGAGUUAAUUUUUGUGAAGGGUGUGAGAUCUAUGUCUAGCUUCAGUUUUUUGGAUGUGGAUGUCCAGUUUUCCAGCACCAUUUGCUGAAGAGACUAUCUUUGCCCCAUUGUAUUGCCUUUGCUCCUUUGUCAAAGACCAGUUGACUAUGGUCAGAUCAUUUAUGGGAGUCUAUUUCUAGGCUCGCUGUUCUGUUCCAUCUGGUGGUCUGGUGGUUAAGAUUCAACAGUGUCACCACGGCAGCCUGGUUCACUUCCUGGUCAGGGAACCAUACCACCUGUCUGUUGGUUGUCAUACUGUGGUGGUUGCGUGUUGCUGUGAUGCUAAAAGCUAUGCCACCAGUAUUUCAAAUACCAGCAGGGUCACUAAUGGUGGACAGGUUUCAGUGGAGCUUCCAGACCAGACAGACUAGGAAGAAGGACCUGGCCGCCCACUUCCAAAAAAACUGGCUAUGAAAACUCUAUGAAUAACAGCAGAGCACUGUCUGAUAUAGCGCCAGAAGAUGUGAGGAUGGUGCAAAAGGACUGGGCAGAGUGCUGCUCUGCUGUCCACACAGUCGCUAGGAGCUGGAAUCGACCCAACAGCACUAACAAAAGCAAUUCUACAGAUCUACUAGUCUAUUCUUUUACCAAUACCACACUGUCUUGACUACUGUAGCUUAAUGGUAAGUCUUGAAUUCAGGUAGUAUCAGUCCUCUGACUUUGUUCUUUUCCUUCAAUAUUGAGUUGGCUAUUCUGUGUCUUUUGCUUCUCCAUAUAAACUUUAGAAUCAGUUUGUCCAUAGCCACAAAAUAACUUGAUGGGAUUUUGAUUGAGAUUUCAUUGAGUCUAUAGGUCAAGUUGGGAAGGACUGACAUCUUGACAAUGCUGAGUCAUCCUAUCCAUGAACAUGGAAUAUCUCUCCAUUUAUUUACUUCUUUGGUACCUUUCUUCAGAGUUUUGUAGUUUUCUUCAUAUAGAUCUUGUACAUAUUUUGUUAGAUUUACUCCCAAAUAUUUCACUGUUGGGGGUGCUAAUGUAAAAGCUAUUGUGUUUUUAAUUUCAAAUUUCACUUGUUCAUUGCUGGUAUAUAGAAAAGUGAUUGACUUUUGUAUAUUAACCUAUAUCCUGCAACCUUGCUAUAACUGCUUAUUAGUUCCAGGUUUUCUGGGUCAAUUCUUUUAACUAAAAAGAUUGAAUCAGUAAUCAAAAACUUUCCAAGAAAGAAAAAUCUAGCAAAAUAUGGCUUCACUGGUGAAUUCUACUAGAUCCAGACAAAGCCAUCACAAUAAAAUAAGACUAUAGACCAAUACACCUUACGAAUAUAGAUGUAAAAAUCCUCAACAAAAUACUAGCAUGCCAAACUCAGCAGCAUAUUUAAAAGAUUAUACACCAUGACCAAACAGGAUUUACCCCAGGAAUGCAAGUGUUGUUCAACAUAUGAAAAUCAACCAAUGUAAUACGCCACAUUAAUAGAAUGGAAGAAAAAGACCAGAAAAUCAUCCUAAUCAAUGUAGGAAAAAAAAUCUUCUUUCACAAAAUUCAACCUCUUUUCAUGAUUAAAAAAACACUCAGAAAAUCAGGAAUAGACGAGAACUUCCUCAACAUGAUAAAGGGCAUACAUGAAAAGCCCACAGCUAACAUACAUACUCAGUGGUGAAAGACUAAAAACUUUUCUUCUUACUUAGAUGAGGAGCAAGAAAAGGAUGUCUCUUUUCACUACUGCUAUUCAACAUUACUGGAAGUUCUAGCCAGAGCAAUUAGGCAAGAAAAGUAGUAAAAGGCAUCCAUAUUGGAAAAGAAGAAGUAAAACUCUCUCUACACACAGAUGGCAUGAUUCCAUAUAUAGAAAACCCAAAGAAAGCACAAAAAUACUACUAGAAAUAACACUCUUCAUCUAUCUCUAAACCAGGAACUUACAAAUUCUCACUUGUGUUAUGGGAACAUUCCAAAACAUCUUUUCCAAUUCAAGUUAAAAACAAGAAUUUCUUUAUGAAGUUCCCCUAAAACAGAUCCUAAAAAUGCCCACAGUCCUUCCAAUGCCACCUGCCCUAGAAGUGUGAUUGGAAAGAAACAGAAAUCUAAAUCAACUGCAGUUAAAAUAUUAUAGUUUUGAAAUGUUUAUAAAAACGUUUCAGCUUGUGAAUCCAUUACUAGAGCUUCUCUCAGCACUUGAGAAAGUGCCCUCAUAAAUGAUGGCCCCUGGAGCUUAAGCUGUGGCGGCUUCAUGGUAAGUUCACCUCUGCAUCCGUCAAUCAUUCAUUUAUUCAUCAAAUAUUUACUAUCUAAACUAGAGGGGACAGUGAUGAAAAUGUCAUUGCCUACAAUUCUGACGUGGCGUUGUUGUAGAUGAAAUGUCUGCACGUUCUGUGUCAUUGGUAGGUCUGUCUGUCCUCACAGUACCACACUGUCACUGUUGCUCUAAUAAUUCUUCGUAUUUGGCAUAUGAAGAAAUAUUCCCACCUUGUUUUUCUUCAAGAUUGUAUUGGCUAUCUUUUUGCUUUUCCAUACAAAUUUUGGAAUUAGUUUAUUAAUUUCAUAACAGAUCCUAUUGAUAUUUUUAUUUCAUUGCAUGGAGUCUAUAGAUCAAUUUGGGGAGAAUUAACAUCUUUAAAAUUGAGUCUUCCACUCCAUGAAUAUAGUAUAUCCAUCUCUCCAUUUAUUUAUUUAUUUUUUUUUUUUUUUGAGGAAGAUUAACCCUGGGCUAACUACUGCCAAUCCUCCUUUUUGCUGAGGAAGACUGGCCCUGAGGUAACAUCCAUGCCCAUCUUCCUCUACUUUAUAUGUGGGACGCCUACCACAGCAUGGCUUGCCAAGCAGUGCCAUGUCUGCACCUGGAUCUGAACUGGCGAACCCUGGGCCGCUGAGAAGCGGAACAUGCGAACUUAACCUCUGCACCACUGGGCCGGCCCCUUAUUUGUCUUUUAAAAUUUGUUGAUAUGUUACAUAUAUUUGUUUUGUUUAGAA